CUCAGUUUCAGGGGUGACAUUCAUGGACAUUGUGUCAUCAGAGGCUGCAGUCAUAUGGAUGCCGCUGGAUAAGGACUCCUGAGACUUCCUGGAGGAUUUAAGAUCCAUGUGGUCCCAGCUCUGAGUCCAUCCGACCUGGGGAAACUGGAUAUACGCUGUGCAACACUGUAGCCCCAGUCCCGUACAGAGCAGAUGGAUCAAUAGGCAGCGUACUGGGUGAUACAAUGCUGUAUGCUGGGGGAACUGGUGCAAUCUGUCUCUGCAGAGUCUGGAGAAUAACGUUGAUGUCAGCCGUCAUACGAGUUUCCAGCCUGGGGAGGUUGAAAACAAAGGAAAUAAUGACGGUCAGUCCAGCCUGUUGUACCUGUUGAGCUGCGACUGCAGGACUUCAAGUUGAGACUCGAGCUCACUGGGUCUUUCUUCUGCAAUCAGUAGUGGGGGGACUGAGUUACAGAUGGAAGAAGAUCGUAAAACAUGCUGCUGUGGCUGUUGUUGAUCGGGCCAGCAUCGAUACAUUCCCGGCAGAUUCAAGGAUGAAGCUAGGAAGAACACAAAGGAAACCCAGCAAAGGUUAUUUAGGGAUGGGGGUAUUAUCCAACCUUGAGAGGGUAAAAACUUAGCAACAUUGACUUUUAUAUCUUUGUGCAAAAUCGUUGCUCCAUCUGUGCCAGAAAAUGCUUGCCAGAGAAAUAUGAUGUAUCAUGUAUGUGUUUUUUUAUUUUAAAUAAUUUUACAUUA